rnacentral:rRNA from 1 species
UACUCAUCUGUUGCCAGCAUUUAAGGUUGGGGACGUCAGAUGAGACUGCCGGUGACAAACCGGAGGAAGGUGGGGACGGACGUCAAGUCAUCAUGGCCCUUAUGUCCUGGGCUACACACGUGCUACAAUGGCCGGUACAGAGUGAAGCGAAACCGCGAGGUGAAGCAAAGCGCAGAAAGCCGGUCUCAGUACGGAUUGGAGUCUGAAACUCGACUUCAUGAAGUUGGAAUCGCUAGUAAUCGCGCAUCAGCAUGGCGCGGUGAAUACGUUCCCGGGCCUU